rnacentral:ncRNA from 1 species
UGUCAGUGCAAGAGUAACCCUGCUCAGUACAAAAGGAACUGCAGGUUCAAAUUCCUGAUGUGUGCACUUGGUUGAGGAGCCACUGGUGCCAGGCUGCUGUCUCUGGGUAUAUCACGGAAUGCUUCUAAGUCAGAAUCCCACCUAGACAUUACGAUAGUGCAGCAGUGGGCCCGCGGUAGCUGCUUGGCCACCCCCGGGCAGGCUCAGUGGUGAGCGCCACUGGGGUGGACAGAUGUGGUGCUGCCUCUCUCCCAUCUUGUACCGCAUGACUGUGGGGCACCCAGUGCUAAAUCCUUAUCGAGGACCUGAUUCUGCGUCAGGGUUUUGUAUGUAGCAAAGCAGCUCCCAUGAUGUAGGCUCUUGAGAAUCAGCCCUUGGCACAAGCUUUU